CAGCCGCCGCGGGAAUACGAAGGUCCCGAGCGUUGUUCGGAAUCACUGGGCGUAAAGGGAGCGUGGCGGCGUGGUAAGUCAGAUGUGAAAUCCCGGGGCUCAACCCCGGAACUGCAUCCGAUACUGCCAUGCUAGAGGAUUGGAGAGGUAGCUGGAAUUCUUGGUGUAGCAGUGAAAUGCGUGGAGAUCAAGAGGAACACUCGUGGCGAAAGCGAGCUACUGGACAAUAACUGACGCUGAGGCUCGAAGGCCAGGGUAGCGAAAGGGAUUAGAUACCCCCGUAGUCCCUGUCUCUUAUACA
rnacentral:rRNA from 1 species